rnacentral:rRNA from 1 species
UACGGGGGGAGCAAGCGUUGUUCGGAUUUACUGGGCGUAAAGGGCGCGUAGGCGGAUCUUUAAGUCGGGGGUGAAAGCCCAGGGCUCAACCCUGGAAUUGCCUUCGAUACUGAAGAUCUCGAGACCGGAAGAGGUAAGUGGAACUGCGAGUGUAGAGGUGAAAUUCGUAGAUAUUCGCAAGAACACCAGUGGCGAAGGCGGCUUACUGGUCCGGUUCUGACGCUGAGGCGCGAAAGCGUGGGGAGCAAACAGG